GUAUAUUAACACUUCAUAUGACUGUAAGUAUAUUUGAUAAUCUUUCUUUUGUAUUGUGCUCUCCGUUGGUGUUAAUUUUUGUAUUUUUAACAGGUGAAGGAGUUAAAUUUUUGGUUCAUUUUGUCAAUCCCCGUAUGCUAAAUUUCAAAUUUUCAUUUCCUAUGUAAAAUAUAAUUUUUACUAUUAAUUGUCUGAUUGUUAGUAUAA
rnacentral:misc_RNA from 1 species